UACGUAGGGUGCAAGCAUUAAUCGGAUUUAUUGGGCGUAAAGGGCGCGUAGGCGGGAAAGUCAGUCAGAUGUGAAAUCCCGGAGCUCAACUCCGGAACAGCAUUUGAAACUGCUUUUCUAGAGGGUAGGCGGAGAAAACGGAAUUCCACAAGUAGCGGUGAAAUGCGUAGAUAUGUGGAAGAACACCAGUGGCGAAGGCGGGUCUCUGGACAGUUCCUGACGCUGAGGCACGAAGGUCAGGGGAGCAAAACGGGG
rnacentral:rRNA from 1 species